rnacentral:rRNA from 1 species
CACGGGGCGCAGCAGGCGCGAAACCUCCGCAAUGCACGCAAGUGCGACGGGGGAACCCCAAGUGCCACUCUUAACGGGGUGGCUUCUCGAGAAGUGUAACCCCGCCCAUGAGUGUGAUUGACCCCCC